ACUCCAUGAAGUUGGAUUCGCUAGUAAUCGCGCAUCAGCCAUGGCGCGGUGAAUACGUUCCCGGGCCUUGUACACACCGCCCGUCAAGCCAUGGAAGCCGGGGGUGCCUGAAGUCCGUAACCGUGAGGAUCGGCCUAGGGCAAAACUGGUAACUGGGGCUAAGUCGUAACAAGGUAGC
rnacentral:rRNA from 1 species